UUUAUCUUUUCUUUGCCCCAAGAGUGCAUCUAUUACCUAAUCACUUGCAUCACACAUUAAUUCGAAAGGUACAGACCAAUCAGGUGGAGCAAUUAUUGGUGCAGACACUAAUUUGUCCUUCAGAGUUUCAAAAAGUAUGCAGAUAUUCUUGAUUAAAAACAAAUGGAGCAUCUUUAAAUAAAAAACUACGCAAUGGUUUUGUAAUUUUAGAAAAAUCUUUUAUAAAUUUUCUAUAAAAUCUUGCACGUCCUAAAAAACUCCGAAUUACUUUCACAUUCAUUGGCGCGGUGGUAAUUUUUCAAUUACCUCCACUUUAACUUUAUCAACCUCUAUGCCUUUAGUUGAGAUUCGUUGCCCAAGAACAAUACCUUCUGUUACCAAAAAUGAAAUUUUUUUCAAUUCAGAACUAGGUUUGUUUCUUGACUCCUUUUCAAAACUAAAGACAAGUGGUUCAAGUAUAAGUCAAAAGUAUCACCAAAUACCAAAAAAUCAUUGAUAAAUAUCUCUAUAUAUUUUUUUACCAUAUCAUAAAAGAUGGAAAGCAUGCACCUUUGAAAAGUGGAGUGUGCAUUGCACAACCUGAAAGGCAUUCUACGAUAGGCAAAAACUCCAUAUGGCAUGUGAAAGCUGUCUUUCUUGAUCGAAAGAAUCAACCGCAAUUUGGUUGUACCCUGAGUAUCUAUCCAAAAAAUAGUAAAAAGUGUGGCCGGUAAGUCUUUCCAACAUUUGAUCAAUGAAUGGUAGAAGAAAGUGAUCCUUCCUGAUUGCCAUGUUAAGCCUUCGAUAGUCAAUGCACAUCCUCCAGUCGAUAAUCGUUCUUGUAGGGAUUAGCUCAUUUUUUUAUUGGAAACAUAAUUCCUCCCUUCUUUGGCACAACUUGCACCGGACUGACCCACAAAUUGUCGAAGAUAGGAUAGAUGAUUCCUGCAUCCCAAAACUUCAUCAUUUUCUUGUGAACAACCUCCCUCAUUGUUGGAUUGAGCCUUCUUUGUGCAUGUACAAUAGAUUUAGAAUUUUUCUCCAAUAGAAUCUUGUGCAUGCACAUUGCGAGACAAAUUCGUUUUAAAUCACUGAUUAUCCAUCCAAUUAUGGUAUUGUAUUCCCUCAGUACUUGUAGUAAUCCUUAUUCUUAUAAUUCACUCAAUGGCCAUGUAUAAUCACGGGAUAAGUUUCAUUAGCUCCAAGAAAUACAUACUUGAGAGUUGGAGAUAAAGGUUUUAACUCUAGCUUAGGCGAGCGGUUCUUGCUCUUGUCAUCUCCCUCCUUAGUGUUACUUGUUCAUUCUUACAUGAAUGAGGUGGACACGGGAGUCUUCUCUAUUGAAUGCACAUUUUUUAACUCUUCCAUUGUCUCAGAACAUGGGUACAAUAGAGUUUCUAGAGAUUUUACAAGAGAUUUUUUAUUAAGAACUUUUUGGAUUAAUAAUAGAUCGAUUAAAUAUACUCAUACAACUCUUUGUUUCACUUGGAUACUGCAUGACUUUAAAGACAUUGAAGACCAUUUAUUCAUCAUGAAUCCUCAGUGUUAACUCACCCUUUUGGACACCUAUAAGAGCUCGUCAUGUGACUAAGAAUGGUCUCUCUAGAAUUAUUGAAGCAUAUCAAGGAUUACAAAAUCAGCAAGAAAAAUGAAUUUUUUCACUUUGACCAAAGUGUUUUCCACUAUCCCAGGUGAAAACUUUAUUGAUCCAUUUGCUAAUUGUAGAGAGAUCCUUGUUGGCUUUACCUCCUCUUUUUGUAGCUUCCUCAUCAUGGUUAAGGACAUUAAAUUAAUGCUUACCCUAAAUCACAUAGUUCCUUUCCAAUGGUGAUGUCUCAAAUAGUGUAAAAAAUUUAAAAACUCUCUGGAUCUUUUAAUUUUUGUGGCAGUUUUUUUUUUGGAUGAUGACACUACAUUCCUUGGUGAGUAUUACUAUUUCAUCUUCUCUGAGAUUUCUUUUCUCGGACAAUAAUUCCUUCAUAAAUUUAGCAUAGAUGAGCAUUUGCUCUAAACCUUCUGUGAAGAGAACGUUGAUCUGUAACUUUCUAAACACUUCUUGAAAUUUAGAAAAUUGCUUCUCCUGAUUCUGCUUCUGCAACCUUUAAGGAAAUGGGAUUUUAGGUGUAUAGGACUUCUUCUUCAUAUUCUCUUUCUUGACUUCAGGUGGUAGAGAAGUGUUGUACUUACUCUGAUUUCUUCUCCUCUUUUUCUUCUGAAGGUUCCUCAGCUUGUUAUUCAUUAUUUUUUGGAGAUUCUUUGCUAACCACUCUUCGGCUUCUAAGAUUAAUAUUCUUGCAUUCCUCUCUAAGAUUAGCUUAAAGUCUGUUCAACAAAUGUCGAGGUUGAUUGAGACAAUUUUUUCAUAGCAAUAUCAAAAGAUGAGAAUUUCUAAGGAUUCUAUGCACAGGAUGUGCUUACUAUUGGUAUGGAAGUUUGAAGUUUCUCUGUUCUUCAUUUUGCUAACCAAAAUUCGGAUGGUUCUUUCAUCCAGGAUUGUAAGUUUUUGAGAAAGGGUCUUUCUGUGGUCUUGAAGAAUUUCCCAUAUAAUUUACUUGCUCGGUAGAAGGUUGGACAUCCUUGAAAAGUUUACAUUCUUCAUUCUUAUGAGCUCUCCUACACAAGUCACAGAUGACAACUUGUAUCCCAAUAGCUGCGACUUGUAUUUGUCCCAUUUGUUUAGUGAAUGAGGUGAUUUGUUGAGACA